rnacentral:rRNA from 1 species
GACGAACGCUGGCGGCGUGCUUAACACAUGCAAGUCGAACGGAAAGGCCCUGCUUUUGUGGGGUGCUCGAGUGGCGAACGGGUGAGUAACACGUGAGUAACCUGCCCUUGACUUUGGGAUAACUUCAGGAAACUGGGGCUAAUACCGGAUAGGAGCUCCUGCUGCCUGGUGGGGGUUGGAAAGUUUCGGCGGUUGGGGAUGGACUCGCGGCUUAUCAGCUUGUUGGUGGGGUAGUGGCUUACCAAGGCUUUGACGGGUAGCCGGCCUGAGAGGGUGACCGGCCACAUUGGGACUGAGAUACGGCCCAGACUCCUACGGGAGGCAGCAGUGGGGAAUAUUGCACAAUGGGCGGAAGCCUGAUGCAGCAACGCCGCGUGCGGGAUGGCGGCCAUCGGGUUGUAAACCGCUUUCGCCUGGGACGAAGCGUGAGUGACGGUAAUGGGUAAAGAAGCACCGGCUAACUACGUG